rnacentral:pre_miRNA from 1 species
UUACAUGCAGUGCUGGGGCAACUAAAACUCUGAGUUCUGUUAGCAUCAAAGUUUUUUACCCUGGCUCAGCAUGGA